rnacentral:tRNA from 1 species
GGGCGUGUAGCUCAAUGGCAGAGCAGUGGCCUUUUAAGCCAUUGGUUGUGGGUUCGAUUCCCUCCACGCUCA